rnacentral:rRNA from 1 species
AGAGUUUGAUCCUGGCUCAAGAUGAACGCUGGCGGCGUGCCUAAUACAUGCAAGUCGAACGGAGAUUGUAUCAAUACGAUCUUAAUGGCCAACGGGUGAGUAACGCGUUGGCAACCUGCCCCGAAGUGUGGGAUAACGGUCCGAAAAGGGCCACUAAUACCGCAUGUGAUCCUAAGGAAUAGCAGCUUAGGAUGAAAGGAGUAAUUCGCUUCGGGAGGGACCUGCGUCCCAUCAGCUAGUUGGUAGGGUAACGGCCUACCAAGGCGAUGACGGGUAGGGGACCUGAGAGGGUGACCCCCCACAAUGGAACUGAAACACGGUCCAUACACCUACGGGUGGCAGCAGUAGGGAAUAUUGGUUAAUGUGCGAAAGCGCGAACCAGCAACGCCGCGUGUGCGAUGAAGGCCUUCGGGUCGUAAAGCACUUUUUGCAGGGACGAGGAAGGACGGUACCUGCAGAAUAAGUCUCGGCUAACUACGUGCCAGCAGCCGCGGUAAAACGUAGGAGACGAGCGUUAUCCGGAUUUACUGGGCGUAAAGCGCGUGCAGGCGGCAUGGCAAGUUGGAUGUGAAAGCUCCUGGCUUAACUGGGAGAGGUCGUUCAAUACUGCCAAGCUUGAGAGUGGUAGAGGGAAGCGGAAUUCCGGGUGUAGUGGUGAAAUGCGUAGAUAUCCGGAGGAACACCAGUGGCGAAAGCGGCUUCCUGGCCCAUUUCUGACGCUCAGACGCGAAAGCUAGGGUAGCAAACGGGAUUAGAGACCCCGGUAGUCCUAGCCGUAAACGAUGUGAACUUGGCGUUGGUGGGUUCAAAUCCAUCAGUGCCGAAGCUAACGCGAUAAGUUCACCGCCUGGGGACUACGGCCGCAAGGUUAAAACUCAAAGGAAUUGACGG